rnacentral:rRNA from 1 species
AUUGAACGCUGGCGGCAUGCCUUACACAUGCAAGUCGAACGGCAGCACGGGAGCAAUCCUGGUGGCGAGUGGCGAACGGGUGAGUAAUAUAUCGGAACGUGCUCAGUCGUGGGGGAUAACGCAGCGAAAGCUGUGCUAAUACCGCAUACGAUCUAAGGAUGAAAGCGGGGGAUCGCAAGACCUCGCGCGAUUGGAGCGGCCGAUAUCAGAUUAGCUAGUUGGUGGGGUAAAGGCCCACCAAGGCGACGAUCUGUAGCUGGUCUGAGAGGACGACCAGCCACACUGGAACUGAGACACGGUCCAGACUCCUACGGGAGGCAGCAGUGGGGAAUUUUGGACAAUGGGCGCAAGCCUGAUCCAGCAAUGCCGCGUGCAGGAUGAAGGCCUUCGGGUUGUAAACUGCUUUUGUACGGAACGAAACGGCCCUUUCUAAUACAGGGGGCUAAUGACGGUACCGUAAGAGUAAGCACCGGCUAACUACGUGCCAGCCGCCGCCGUAA